GGAGGAAAAGAAACCAACAGGGAUUGCCUCAGUAACGGCGAGUGAAGCGGCAAAAGCUCAAAUUUUAAAGCUGGCAUCUUCGGUGCCCGCGUUGUAAUUUUGUGAGGCAUCUCCGGGUAGGGCGCCGGCCUAAGUUCCUUGGAACAGGACGUCACAGAGGGUGAGAAUCCCGUGCUUGGCUGGCUGUCCCCGCCCACGUGAGGUGUCUUCGACGAGUCGAGUUGUUUGGGAAUGCAGCUCAAAAUGGGUGGUAAAUUUCAUCUAAAGCUAAAUAUUGGUGGGAGACCGAUAGCGCACAAGUAGAGUGAUCGAAAGAUGAAAAGCACUUUGAAAAUAGAGUUAAAAAGUACGUGAAAUUGUUGAAAGGGAAGCGCUUGAGACCAGACUUCGGUAGGGGGUGAUCAGCCGUCCUUCUGGGCGGUGCACUUGCCCCCCUCCGGGCCAGCAUCGGUUGAGGCGGCGGGAUAAAGGUCCCGGGAAUGUGGCUCCCUCACGGGAGUGUUAUAGCCCGGGUGAAUGCCGCCAGCCUCGACCGAGGACCGCGCCCGCAAGGGCCAGGAUGCUUGGCGUAAUGGUCUUCAGCGACCCGUCUUGAA
rnacentral:rRNA from 1 species